GUUUACGGCCAUGCCACUCUGAACAAGCCCAAUCCCAUCUGAUCUCAGAAGCUAAGCAGGGUUGGGCCUGGUUAGUACUUGGAUGGGAGACCACCUAGGAAGAUCAGGUGCUGUAGGCG
rnacentral:rRNA from 1 species